rnacentral:misc_RNA from 1 species
GACAAGGUGGAUGUUUCAUAAGUUCUUCGCAUAAUUCUCAUGCGAAUUGUGAUGUGAUAAGUGUAUAUACAUAGGAACGUAGGUGUUAAAUGGUCAGUUAGCAUGAUCGGAAAAUGGAGGAGAGUACAGGAACAUCUUGGUGUCGCUGUCCACAAUUUUGGACAAGAUGGUCCACAUCGAUUGCGGUUAACUAUUGGCGAAGUCGUUCAGUUAUUAGAAGAGUGCGAUGAUUGGUACUAUGGAAGCAGUAAAUACAAAGGAGAGUAUGGGAUUUUUCCGAAAUCCUACGUUCGUGUUCUACCCCUGAACAGAAACACGGAAGCUUUAACGUAUGAAAUAACCAAUGUACUGAGAGAAUGGGGCCAUCAUUGGAAGCACUUAUACGUGACACACUCGAAGCAUUUCUUGCCCAUUCAACAAGAAAUCUUGGAACUGAUAGAAUACAGAAGUAAAAUCCUAAGCGGAACGUUGACGGUCGAUGAAUUGAAAGAUGUGAAGAGGUUGGCAACUGCCAGAAUAGAUACUGGAAAUCAACUUUUAGGUUUGGAUAUGGUGGUUCGUGACGAACAGGGAAAUAUAUUAAAUCCCGAGGAAACGAGUGCCGUUCAACUUUACCAUUAUCACGAGACAGGGGCCGAAAGAAUAAGAAAGGCAACAACGGAAACCAGAAGGAAGCACAAUAAGCCCAGAACGCCUAUAUACUCGCAUAUAUUUUUCAUCAGCGUAAGAAAUUUUGUCUGCAAAAUGGCCGAAGAUGUGGAACUGCUGCUAACCCUGUACGACGGCAAAGAAAUGAAAGCGAUCACUGAGAACUACGUUGUAUUUUGGAGCAAGGAGGGCCUUGCCAAAGACAUCGAUCAGUUGCAUAAUUUGAGGGUGUUGUUCACCGACCUUGGAUCUAGGGAUCUGUCCAGAGAUAAAGUAUAUUUAGUAUGCUUUGCCAUUAGGGUUGGAGGCAUGGACGCGAAAGAGGUCGAUCACAGAAGAUCGAGCAUUGUACAGAAUAAUCAAAAGCCCAAAAAUGUUGACGACAUGCGGAGGCCAUUCGGCGUCGCCGCGAUGGACAUUACGUUGUAUAUUACAGGGAAACUAGAGGGCGAUGUUGAGCAUCAUCAUUUCAUUCCGUUUUUGCACUGUGAGAAGGAGAGUCUGGAUGGAACGUUACGCAGAAUUAUUUCCCAAAAGGAAACAAACAGCCAGAAAAGUAAUAGUGGGAAUUGCGGAAACGUUGCUGGAGGUCAGGGCUUGUGGGCUAGCUUGAAACUACUUAUGGGUGAUACUAAACAAGUACGUGAAGAAUAUCCGCAUUUAGUACUAGGUAAUGUGGCUAUCGCACGUAAAAUGGGAUUUCCAGAAGUAAUUUUACCAGGAGAUGUGAGGAACGAUCUAUAUCUUACGUUGAUAUCUGGAGAGUUCAGCAAAGGAUCUAAAUCUACCGAUAAAAAUGUUGAAGUAACGGUAAAAGUUUGCAACGAGCAUGGGGUUCCAAUACCAGGGAUGAUGACACUAGGUGGUGGAGCAGCCUUGAUAGACGAAUAUCGUAGUGUUAUAUAUUAUCACGAAGAUAAGCCAAGAUGGUGCGAGACCUUUAAAAUAGCCGUGCCAAUAGAAGAGUUUAAACAGGCUCAUCUGAAAUUUACUUUCAAGCAUCGUAGUUCAAAUGAAGCCAAGGACAAAUUCGAAAAACCGUUUGCUCUAAGUUAUGUUAGAUUGAUGCAACGCAAUGGAACAACGCUUCAGGACAUUCAACACGAAUUAUUAGUUUAUAAAUUAGAUCACAAAAAGUACGAAGAAAAUGAAGCAACGUAUUUGAGCUUACCCUCUACUCGAGGAGAACUGCUAGAGCUCCAUGGUGAAAAGAAACCGUCAAGAGGUCCGCUGACUUUGAGUUCUAAAGAUAAUUUCUUAAUAGUAACCAAUAUUUGCUCCACUAAAUUGACGCAAAAUGUGGACUUGUUAGGUUUAUUAAAUUGGGCAUCAUGUAAAACGGAUUUAAAAGACUCUUUGGCAGCCUUAAUGAAAGUUGACGGAGAGGAAAUUGUGAAAUUUUUACAAGAUGUCCUAGAUGCUUUAUUCAAUAUAUUAAUGUGUAAUUCAGAUAGCGAUGUGUUCGAUGACAUGGUUUUCGAAUGUUUAUUGUAUAUAAUUGGAUUGGUGUCCGAUAGAAAAUACCAGCACUUUCAGCCAGUAUUGGAUUUGUACAUAUCAGAAAGCUUUUCGGCGACUUUGGCAUAUAAGAAAUUGAUCGUCGUUUUACGAAAACGCAUAGUUAGCGCCUGUACGAAUGAUGUGCAAGAGCGAGACUUAUUAUUAAGAACUAUGAAGAGUUUGCAAUACUGUAUGAGAUUCAUUGUCGAAUCUCGAUUAUUGUUCACGGCAUUGGAUGAGGACGAAGAAGAAUUUUCUCAGACUUUAACGGACCUACUCAGAUCUAUCGUUGAUCUAAUGAGUCACGAGACCGAUGGAACUCUAUUAGUGCAAGGAGCAUGUCUUAAGUAUUUACCGACAACGGUACCACAUUUACUGCGAGUGUAUAGUGGAAAACAACUGAGUACAAUACUAACGGAUUUAUUAGUCACGCUACCCCCAGGAAGGUUAACUAAACAGAAAAUGAUGACAAUAAACGACAUUGUACACAGUCCACUUUUUUUAAAUGUGGAUUGUAGGGCAAUACUUUUGCCAAGAAUCGUUCUACUCGUUCGGAAUCUUCUUGAAGCUAAAGAAGAGGGACUGUCAGGCACGCCUGGAAAAAGCGUGGCGAAGGUAGCCAGGUUGCUCGGCGAAAAUCGUCACCGACUGAACCAACAUCGGGGAUAUUCCGAAGAGGUGGAACUUUGCGUUAAAAUCCUGUCGGAUAUUCUCAAAUUGACAUUUAGAAAGGACGUCGGCUGCACAGUUUCGGAUGUGAAGGAAAUCAUGUUAACAGCACUCAGAACUGUCAUACAGACUGUCAUAUCGAUGGAUAGAGAAAACCCUCUAGUAGGAAAUUUAGUAUCCGUGAUGCUGGCAAUAUUCAGACAAAUGACCCAACAACACUACGAAAUAUACAUUAAUCAUUUCGGUACGGAAUUUGACUUGCUUGACUUCUUGAUGGAGAUUCUGUUAGUUUUCAAGGACCUUGUUUCUCGAAGUGUCUUCCCCAAUGACUGGUGCGAAAUGAUCAUGCUUCAAAACAGCGUUAUUUUGAAGUCGCUCCGUUAUUUCUCAGGGACUAUCGUGGAACAUUUCUUUUCGAAUUUCGAACAACAAGCUUGGUCCAAUUUCUUUCACGGUGCAAUAGCCUUUUUAACGCAACCGGCACUUCAGUUGGAAACAUUUAGUCCUGCGAAACGUAAUCGGAUCGUCGCGCGAUACAGUGACAUGCGCAGGGAAACUGCUUUCGAAAUACGAUCGAUGUGGUUCAACUUAGGCCAAUAUAAAAUCUUGUUUGUGCCUUCCUUAGUUGGUUCCAUUUUGGAAAUGGCUUUGAUACCAGAAACGGAACUAAGAAAAGCUACCAUUCCUAUAUUCUUUGACAUGAUGCAGUGCGAAUUUUAUAGCUCAAGAAUCGCCGAAGGAUAUGGAGAUACAAAGAGAGAUCCUGCCUAUAUUAAAGCUAAUUUCAUUGAUUACGAAAACGAGAUGAUUGCAAAGCUGGACAUUUUGGUCGAAGGAGGAAAGGGAGACGAACAAUUUCGUAAUCUCUGGGUGCAAGUAAUGAGUUCCCUUUGUGAAAAACAUUCGACAAUGCGAGAACAAGGUUUACGAUUCGUAGAAACCGUGGCUAAAUUAAUGGAACGUCUGCUACAAUAUCGAGACAUUGUUCAUGCCGAAUCUCAGGAACAUCGAAUGCUCUGCACGGUUAACUUGUUAGAGUUCUAUUCUGAGAUAAACAGGAAAGAAAUGUACAUCAGAUAUGUGAACAAAUUGUGCGAACUACAUUUGGAGUGUGAUAACUAUACAGAAGCUGCUUACUCGUUAAAAUUACACAGUCAACUGUUAUCAUGGAGUGAUCAGCAUUUGCCUCCUUUGUUGAGAUCUAACAGAUAUCCACUGUGUCAGACUCACCGCCAACUAAAAGAAGCUCUGUACAAUGACAUGAUCGAAUAUUUUGACAAAGGAAAAAUGUGGGAAUGUGCGCUUGGAGUUUGCAAGGAGUUAGCAGCACAGUAUGAAGAAGAAACCUUCGAUUACGCUCAACUGUCUUUACUGCUAAGACGAAUGGCCAAAUUUUACGACUGCAUAGUAAAACAGUUAAGACCUGAACCAGAAUACUUCAGAGUAGCAUAUUACGGACGAGGUCAUCCACCGUUCUUGCAGAACAAAGUAUUCAUUUAUCGGGGCAAAGAAUACGAAAGGCUCAGUGAUUUUUGUUCGAGAACGCUGAACCAGUUACCUAAUGCCGAACAAAUGAGUAAAUUAUCUCCACCUAGCGAAGAUAUUCUGGAAUCUAAUUGCCAGUAUGUACAAAUUAACAAAGUAGAUCCGUUAAUGGAUGAAAAGAAGCAUCGUUUAAGUGGAAAACCGGUCAUUGCAGAAGCAGUUUUGAGGUACCACCGCGUUAAUGACGUCCAACGAUUUCGAUUUUCACGCCCAGCUCCGAAAAAAGAAUUAACAACGGUGCGGACUGGAGAUAAAGAUAAGGAAAUCCAAGAGAGUAACAGUAAUGAAUUCGCCUCAUUGUGGUUAGAAAGGACAGUGCUUGUAACGAGUCAUCCUCUGCCUGGAAUUUUAAGGUGGUUUCCAGUUACAUCGAGUGAAACUUAUUUAGUUAGUCCUUUGCGGAACGCUAUCGAAACGAUGGAAGCCACUAAUACGGUACUCCGAGACCUCAUCAUUGCUCACAGAGCGGAUCCCAAUCUUCCUUUGAACCCCUUGAGUCUAAAGCUGAAUGGUAUUCUGGAUCCAGCUGUAAUGGGAGGAGUAGAUAAUUAUGAAAAAGCUUUUUUAAAUCCCGAUUAUCGAGAAACGCACCUACACGAAAGCGCUGAUCUUUUGAAAUUGGAAGGUCUGAUUGCUUCACAAAUACCUCUUUUAGAAAUUGGAGUGCAACUACAUAAAGCGAGGGCACCCCUCGAACUUGCUCCAUUCCAACAACGGUUGGAACAUUGUUUUGCAUCUAUGCGCAUCCAAAUAGAAUCAAAAUACGGUAAAAGAACUUGUGACCUGAAGCUUGAGAAUAUUACUCAUACGGUUACGAUGCGCAGAAAUCAACCUACUAGAGGCGAGAGCCAUCGUUUAUCAGAAGCCAGUGCAGUAAGCACAGAAAAUAACUCCGUGCGAUCCCACAUUUUGUCUUCGGCAUCUAUACAGAAAGCACUCGGAAGUUCCAGCCCGGGUACAAAUAAGAAAAAGGACUCUAAAAGGAGUUCACGUAAAAGCGAUACAACCGCGGCAAAUAAAAACGACCAACCAAAGAGUCAGUGGUACACGACAUCUGACGUGAUGCAGAACACUAUCAUGACCGAUACUUCACCGACAACGAGUCUUUCUGCGACACAUAUAUUUGAAUUGAGACAAGAAUUAACUCCUAAACGUCCUCUAAGAUCGGAAGCGGAAAAAGAGCGGAGAAUAAGUACUCGAUGGUCCGGCCAAACACAAUAUUAUCCAAGGAUUUCAAAUAACGGAUUGGAACCUACCAGUCUAUCUAAGGGAAAUAGAGAUAGUAUUGGAACAACCGACAGCGCUACCUCCGAAGAAGAUCCUCCACCACCUCUGCCAAUCAAAACGCGCGAAGCAGAUUAUUGUAAUCUCCCAGAUGAUGAUCAAGCUCAUCAUGGCCAAAUGAACAUCCUGAGCAACAUAAAUAGACUCCUGUGUCACCCAGCAAAGAGUAAACUACCAACUCCAUCUGACGGUAACCAAAGCAAACCACCAACACCGCCUCCGAAACCUAAAAGGCCGAUGCACACCACGGAGGAUGUUUUUCUUCCGGCAGGUGAUCUAACCGAUCGAAGUCGUGACUCAUCGGCCACAUGAUGAUCGUACACAUACAAUUAUUUAUAAUCACCCUCUCCUAUAUUACUUUCUCAUUGAAAAUAAUUUAUUGCCGAAAUUCAAACUAAACUUUGACUGUAACCGAAAUUGAAUUUGCUCUUCUACUAACAUACAAUUAUCAUCCCCGAUAUAUGAAAGGUUCGUGACAUGUUCGUGGCAUGUACCACAUUGCAAGAUUUUCGUAAAUUUGACUUCAUUUGACAAAAAUCUGACACAAAUCUUGCAAUAUAGUACAGAUCUUGCUGCAGAGAUGCGUGUUUAAUCCUACGUUGAGAAUGUCUAAAGGUUGUUGUGCAUCUGUACAUUCUGUACAUUUUGACACAAUGGUGUUAAUACUAGCAAUUUAAAGUUACAAGAUUUAUAUUGCUGCGGAUAAAUUUUCCACCUUAUCAUGCAAAUAUGUAAUUUAUUAACAAAGAUCUUUGUUAUACCGUACACAUUGGCGAAGACAAAUGCAAUGUUAUAAUCCGAAACGCCCAAAAUUUCUGAUUAACAGAUCAGAAAAUAGUUUUUUGGCAGGCGCUAAAAAUGAACAUCUUUUGUGCUAACUUAUAUACCAUUUUCUUUUUACCUUCGAUUUCAUUCAAAUACAUGCAUGAAGUAAUGGGAGAAGCAUCCCUUUUCUUUAAAUACAUCCACCAAACUACUUUAUUUCUUGCAAUUCAUAUAUUUGGAUUUAUACUAUAUAAAGCGUGAAUAUGUUUCGCCAUAUACUUUUACAACACUUUUCGACCACAUAUGUACGGACUAUAAUACAGUCCGACGCAUGAACAAUGAAAGAUGCUUCUGCCAUCAAGGGUGUGAAUAUAUUUCAUUUUUAUACAGUAAUUUACAUUAUACAUAUACAUUCACUAUAGUACAGUGCGCAUUUGCAGUAUGAAAUGGCUUUUCAAUGAUAUCGUCAUUGCUAUACCACAUUACACACUCAUUUACAUUAUUUAUUUGUUAAAUAUGUCAAUUCAAGUAAAUAGUUAAUAUAACGUGGUUUUAAAUGUCUAGUCGAUUGUACGGUCGGAUGAAAGUUGUUGGCCAAAGGUUUUAUUUGGCUUUGUCUUGAACCGGAUCGACAUAUGUUCAAAUGCACAUUAAUUUUGGUAUGGUUUAUAUGCAAAAGAGUUUUAUUUAAACUAAACCAAAUUUUAGUUUUAGGGCAUUUAUACACUUGAGAAUGUAGAAUGUCAGGACGAAUUUAAACGGAACAAGCCACUGUAGAAUUCGAGAUUUCAUAUUUGUUUCUAAACUAGCUUGAAUCUAAUCAAGACUACUAUAAUAUUAAUAUUUCUAAUGAUAUCUGAAACUAUGGCAACAAUGUUCAUUUUAUUCAGGUAUAAAUAGUAACAUGAUUUAUACUAAUUUUAUCAGGAAAGUAUAAUAAUAAUAAUAAUUGCUUAAUUCAAAGUACCAUAGAUCUAUACAUUGAAGACGGCCUAAAAACUAAUUUUUGCUCAGUAUGUGUUCCUGUCAUAUCAGAAAUAAACACAAUACUUGAAUCGUAAAGCUUUCAAAUGUAUAACUAAAAUUACUACAUGAAGUAAAAAGAUUAUCAUUAACAAUGCUUGGGCAAAUUUUUAAACUCUUGCAUUCUAUUUUUCAUGACACGUAGACUUUUGUGUACAUUAUGACGUCUAUUUAAGAUAUUUCUUAAAUCGUAGGCAAUAAUACACUUCAUUAAUAUUUAUUUCGUCGCCGUUUAUCUUGUACUUUUUCUACGAAUUGUAAAUGAGAAGCCUUUUCAGAAAAACUAGGUAAAUAAAUUUCCAAAGUGCAUAUUGACAAUAAAAUUGUAAUGCAUUACACUCUAAUCAUCGUAGAUACUUGAGAUGCAUUUGAAAUAAAUAUGGCUUCUUUUAUUCUAUUUGAGAAUGACACUUCCAACAUAUCAAGCAAACCGAUUGUUAAAUGGUUUCCGAACUUCCUAUAUUAGAAAACCAACGUUCUCCAAAUAAUGUAAAAUUUUUUACUGACAAUACUCCAUUGACAAAACGAAAAAUAUGUAUCUAAGAAAUCAUGUUUUAUUACUGUACCAAAGAAAGUAUUUUUAGCGUUAUUUAUUCGAAUUAAUCUAUUGUACGUAUUAACGGUGGUAUAAGUGCGGCAUAUGAACGAUGAACUCGAAAAAGAAAAACAAUCUGCAAAUGAUUAAGAAAUCUUAAAUGUAAAACAUUUACCUACUAGUCUGCUUAAUAAAACUACACCUUUGUUAUGAAUCGUUACAAAUGUAAUAUAUACGACAUGCACAUUCGUUCACUUGCACACAGUCUAUAUUAGGUAAUUUGUUUAUAAUGACAAACAAAUAAUGUAGUGCCAUUUUAUUUUUUUAAGUUUGUUGUAAUUAUAUACCUUCCUAGAUAGUUAGGGACCAACGCAGUAACAUUUUAUAUUGACAUAUUAUGUAUUAUAUAAUGGUAAUUAAAUAUACGCUGCUGCAUAA